rnacentral:lncRNA from 1 species
GUUGAUCACAAAGCUAAGCUCACCCAGAGUAAUAAUCCUUUGGUAUGUAGACAUCACGAACAGGUCCAAAUCGCUCGAACGGGACUCGAAGUUCAUCAGGUCUACAAUCUAGAGGAAUGUUCCGAACCAAAAGGCUUCCAUUGUUGCUUUCUCUGCGCCUACCUCCACCACCACCACCGCCACCGCCACCGCCACCGCCAGAAAGUACAAAUAAAAUAAUAUCAAGACCAAAUUGGCAAAGAUGGCAUGUGUGUGGCGACCAAAUUCAUGGAAACUAAAUAGGAAACCAAAAUUGUGAAUUAACAAAUAGGCGGACGGUGCAUUUAAUCCCAAUAAUUUAAUCCAUAAUCAAGACAGAACAGACCAACCCAACCCAGAACUUUGACACCUUUAAACAAUUACGCAAUCAAUCUAACUCACCAAUCUGAAAAAACAUAAACAUGUAAUAAAACAAAACACACAACACAACACAACACAGUGUGAUAAUUAGGAAUAACUAAGCAUUGUUGAUCACAAAGCUAAGCUCACCCAGAGUAAUAAUCCUUUGGUAUGUAGACAUCACGAACAGGUCCAAAUCGCUCGAACGGGACUCGAAGUUCAUCAGGUCUACAAUCUAGAGGAAUGUUCCGAACCAAAAGGCUUCCAUUGUUGCUUUCUCUGCGCCUACCUCCA